rnacentral:rRNA from 1 species
CACCGCGGUUAUACGAGAGGCUCAAGUUGACUAAAUCUCGGCGUAAAGAGUGAACAUCAUACAUUAUACUAAAGUCGAAUACCCUCAGAACUGUUAUACGCUCCCGAGGGUUAGAAGAUCAAACGAAGGUAACUUUAAAAACUUUUAAUUCACGAAAGCUGUGGAA